rnacentral:rRNA from 2 species
GACGAACGCUGGCGGCGUGCUUAACACAUGCAAGUCGAACGAAGAGCGAUGGAAGCUUGCUUCUAUCAAUCUUAGUGGCGAACGGGUGAGUAACGCGUAAUCAACCUGCCCUUCAGAGGGGGACAACAGUUGGAAACGACUGCUAAUACCGCAUACGAUCUAAUCUCGGCAUCGAGGAUAGAUGAAAGGUGGCCUCUACAUGUAAGCUAUCACUGAAGGAGGGGAUUGCGUCUGAUUAGCUAGUUGGAGGGGUAACGGCCCACCAAGGCGAUGAUCAGUAGCCGGUCUGAGAGGAUGAACGGCCACAUUGGGACUGAGACACGGCCCAGACUCCUACGGGAGGCAGCAGUGGGGAAUCUUCCGCAAUGGACGAAAGUCUGACGGAGCAACGCCGCGUGAGUGAUGACGGCCUUCGGGUUGUAAAGCUCUGUUAAUCGGGACGAAAGGCCUUCUUGCGAAUAGUGAG